UACGUAGGGCGCAAGCGUUAUCCGGAAUUAUUGGGCGUAAAGAGCUCGUAGGCGGUUUGUUGCGUCUGCCGUGAAAGUCCGGGGCUCAACUCCGGAUCUGCGGCGGGUACGGGCAGACUAGAGUGAUGUAGGGGAGACUGGAAUUCCUGGUGUAGCGGUGAAAUGCGCAGAUAUCAGGAGGAACACCGAUGGCGAAGGCAGGUCUCUGGGCAUUAACUGACGCUGAGGAGCGAAAGCAUGGGGAGCGAACAGG
rnacentral:rRNA from 1 species